rnacentral:rRNA from 1 species
GACGAACGCUGGCGGCGUGCCUAAUACAUGCAAGUCGAGCGAAUCUUAAGGUGCUUGCACCUUAUGGUUAGCGGCGGACGGGUGAGUAACACGUGGGCAACCUGCCUGUAAGACUGGGAUAACUUCGGGAAACCGGAGCUAAUACCGGAUAAUCCUUUUCCUCUCAUGAGGAAAAGCUGAAAGUCGGUUUACACUGACACUUACAGAUGGGCCCGCGGCGCAUUAGCUAGUUGGUGAGGUAACGGCUCACCAAGGCGACGAUGCGUAGCCGGCCUGAGAGGGUGAUCGGCCACACUGGGACUGAGACACGGCCCAGACUCCUACGGGAGGCAGCAGUAGGGAAUCUUCCGCAAUGGACGAAAGUCUGACGGAGCAACGCCGCGUGAGCGAUGAAGGCCUUCGGGUCGUAAAGCUCUGUUGUUAGGGAAGAACAAGUAUCGGAGUAACUGCCGGUACCUUGACGGUACCUAACCAGAAAGCCACGGCUAACUACGUGCCAGCAGCCGCAGUAACAC